rnacentral:lncRNA from 10 species
AUGAUUAUUCCCCACCUUCUAAGAGACAAAGACCAACGAGCCACCACAGCCACCGGUCCCAGAACCCGCCAAUGCUGGGGAACGGAAAAUGAGGGAGUUCAACUCUGGCCCUCACAAUCCAGUGGAGGAGACGAAACUCAGCUGCCUCUGUCCCUCUGGGCACGCCUCAUGCCAGGUGCAUCUGUGGACAGGGGCCAUGCUCCUGGGCUUCCAAAGUUGGAGAAAGCUGCCAGGCUCAGGUGGG